UACGGGGGGAGCAAGCGUUGUUCGGAUUUACUGGGCGUAAAGGGCGCGUAGGCGGCGUGACAAGUCACUUGUGAAAUCUCCGGGCUUAACGUCGGUAACGGGAUCGAAGUGUAUACUGUCGUGCUAGAGUACAGAAGGGGCAACUGGAAUUCUCGGUGUAGCGGUGAAAUGCGUAGAUAUCGAGAGGAACACCUGCGGCGAAGGCGGGUUGCUGGGCUGAUACUGACGCUGAGGCGCGAAAGCUAGGGGAGCGAACGGG
rnacentral:rRNA from 1 species